rnacentral:rRNA from 1 species
AUUGAACGCUGGCGGCAUGCCUUACACAUGCAAGUCGAACGGUAACGGGCCUUCGGGUGCCGACGAGUGGCGAACGGGUGAGCAAUACAUCGGAACGUGCCCGAUCGUGGGGGAUAACGAGGCGAAAGCUUUGCUAAUACCGCAUACGAUCUACGGAUGAAAGCAGGGGACCGCAAGGCCUUGCGCGGACGGAGCGGCCGAUGGCAGAUUAGGUAGUUGGUGGGAUAAAAGCUUACCAAGCCGACGAUCUGUAGCUGGUCUGAGAGGAUGAUCAGCCACACUGGGACUGAGACACGGCCCAGACUCCUACGGGAGGCAGCAGUGGGGAAUUUUGGACAAUGGGCGCAAGCCUGAUCCAGCCAUGCCGCGUGCAGGAUGAAGGCCUUCGGGUUGUAAACUGCUUUUGUACGGAACGAAAAGCCUUCUUUUAAUACAGGAGGGUCAUGACGGUACCGUAAGAAUAAGCACCGGCUAACUACGUG